AUGGAAAGGGUUUUCCCCAAGGUUAGUGGUAGAACCCCUCUUUCCCUGGCUUCAGCUCCAGUUGCCUUUCCUGAAACAAAUGGUCCUGAUUGGUGUCCCCAUCUCCCUUCUCAGCAGGUCGAGUCCCGGGCGCUCACCAUGUUCCGGGACAUUGCCCAGCAACUGCAGGCCACCUGUACCUCCCUGGGGUCCAGCAUUCAGGGCCUCCCCACCAAUGUGAAGGACCAGGUACAGCAGGCCCGCCGCCAGGUGGAGGACCUCCAGGCUACCUUUUCCAGCAUCCACUCCUUCCAGGACCUGUCCAGCAGCAUCCUGGCUCAGAGCCGAGAGCGCGUCACCAGCGCCCGCGAGGCUCUGGACCACAUGGUCGAAUACGUGGCCCAGAAUACACCGGUCACGUGGCUCGUGGGACCCUUUGCCCCCGGAAUCACUGAGAAAGCCCCAGAGGAGAAGUAGGGGGAGAGGAUAGAACUUAGCGGGCCCCGUCUCUAUGCUGCAGCUCUGCUCCGGAGUCCUCAACCCAGGGCUCAUUUCAAACUGAUUUUCUAGCCACUCCACCAGCUCUUCUGUGCUGUCUGCUUGGGAAGCUGAGGCUCUCAAAACUGGGGCAUCAUCCAGCUGACCAAUCUCUCAGUCUCUCUGAGCUUGGAAGAAGCCUGCUCUGAGCCUCACCCUAUCAGUCAGUAGAGAGACAGGUCCAGAAAAAUAUUUUUUCAGGAAAGUUCUCCCCCACAGAAUUUUUUUUUUUCCUUGUUAAAAGUCAGGAAUAUAGGCCGGGUGCGGUGGCUCACGCCUAUAAUCCCAGCACUUUGGGAGGCCGAGGCGGGCGGAUCACCUGAGGUCAGGAGUUCAAGACCAGCCAGGCCAACAUGGUGAAACCCUGUCUCUACUAAAAAUACAAAACAAUAAAAAUGAGCCAGGCGUGGUGGUGGGUGCCUGUAAUCCCAGCUACUCGGGAGGCUGAGGCAAGAGAAUCACUUGAACCCAAGCGGCGGAGGUUGCAGUGAGCCAAGAUCACGCCAUUGCACUCCAGCCUGGGGGACAAGAGCGAGACUUAGUCUGAAAGAAAAAAAAAAAAUCAGGGAUAUAGUUCAUAUCCCACUUCUUUGUUUACACCAAUGUCCCUGGAUAUCAGCCUGUAGCUAAUGGACUUGGAUUUCUGGUCUAAGUGGGCGUCCUGGGGAUGGGGUGGAACACUGAGCUUCUAAGCCUCAAUGUAGUGUAGAAAGGUGCUGGGGCCUGUCUGGCAAGCCUUGUUGAAAUGCUCUGGCAUUCAGUAUUGCCUUAAUAAACUUCACCCACAACUGCAUACAGGC